CAGCAGCCGCGGUAAUACGGAGGGUGCGAGCGUUAACCGGAAUAACUGGGCGUAAAGGGCACGCAGGCGGUGACUUAAGUGAGGUGUGAAAGCCCCGGGCUUAACCUGGGAAUUGCAUUUCAUACUGGGUCGCUGAGUACUUUAGGGAGGGGUAGAAUUCCACGUGUAGCGGUGAAAUGCGUAGAGAUGUGGAGGAAUACCGAAGGCGAAGGCAGCCCCUUGGGAAAAUACUGACGCUCAUGUGCGAAAGCGUGGGGAGCAAACAGGAUUAGAUACCCGGGUAGUCCCUGUCUCUUAUAAA
rnacentral:rRNA from 1 species